rnacentral:rRNA from 1 species
AUUGAACGCUGGCGGCAGGCCUAACACAUGCAAGUCGAGCGGUUGACGGGGGCUUGCUCCCUGAUUCAGCGGCGGACGGGUGAGUAAUGCCUAGGAAUCUGCCUAUUAGUGGGGGACAACGUUUCGAAAGGAACGCUAAUACCGCAUACGUCCUACGGGAGAAAGCAGGGGACCUUCGGGCCUUGCGCUAAUAGAUGAGCCUAGGUCGGAUUAGCUUGUUGGUGAGGUAAUGGCUCACCAAGGCGACGAUCCGUAACUGGUCUGAGAGGAUGAUCAGUCACACUGGAACUGAGACACAGUCCAGACUCCUACGGGAGGCAGCAGUGGGGAAUAUUGGACAAUGGGCGAAAGCCUGAUCCAGCCAUGCCGCGUGUGUGAAGAAGGUCUUCGGAUUGUAAAGCACUUUAAGUUGGGAGGAAGGGUUGUAGAUUAAUACUCUGCAAUUUUGACGUUACCGACAGAAUAAGCACCGGCUAACUCUGUGCCAGCAGCCGCCGUAAGAC